rnacentral:lncRNA from 10 species
GUCUCUACAAAAAAAAAGAAGUUUUAAUUUUUGGUCCUUCCUUCUCUGUUUCCUCAGACUCAUCUUCCCAAUGGCUGAAGGCUCCCUGUUACCCCUGGUGUAGUGAAUUCUAGUAGUCGUAACACAUUUCUCCGAACAGAUGAAAGGGAAGCCACGUUUUUAUGUUCACAGCACAUAUGUUUCAGAACCUUGGACAGACACCUUUUGUGACUCUCCCCAGCUCAUACCCACUUCUCUGAGAUCUGUUCCUAUCUCUGGGGCUGGUGCUUCUGACCCUGUCUCUCUGGCUAUCGGCGAUUAGACCAUGGAUCAACACCUGGCCAAGUUAGCACCUUCAGACUUCUCUGGAGAAAAUGACGCUUAAUUGGUGGUACUCUAGCUGCAUGGGCCACUUCCAUCACAUGGAGAAAAAUGAAGCAAACUCAGAGUGAGGCAAGUGAGAGACCACGGGGCCUCAGGAGAACUAUCUUAUCCCUGCAGUCUCCCUUGUAAUUCAGCUAUACCUCUUGUCCGAGUUAUUUGAGAUGUUCUUAAUAAAUCCCCUCUUUAGCCUGAA